UACGUAGGGUGCAAGCGUUGUCCGGAAUUAUUGGGCGUAAAGAGCUCGUAGGCGGUUUGUUGCGUCGGCUGUGAAAUCCGAGGCUCAACCUCGGGUCUGCAGUCGAUACGAGCAAACUAGAGUGUUGCAGGGGAGACUGGAAUUCCUGGUGUAGCGGUGAAAUGCGCAGAUAUCAGGAGGAACACCGGUGGCGAAGGCGGGUCUCUGGGCAACAACUGACGCUGAGGAGCGAAAGCGUGGGGAGCGAACAGG
rnacentral:rRNA from 1 species